rnacentral:rRNA from 1 species
AGAGUUUGAUCCUGGCUCAGAACGAACGUUGGCGGCAUGGAUUAGGCAUGCAAGUUGUGCGAAUCCCAGCAAUGGGGGAAGCAGCGUAAGGGGCAGUAAUGCGUGGGUAUUUACCCUGGGGUCUGGCAUAGCCCUUCGAAAGAAGGGGUAAUUCCAGAUGAUGUCGAGAGACCAAAGGUCCGCCGCCCUGGGAGAAGCCCACGUGAUAUUACCUAGUUGGCGGGGUAACGGCCCACCAAGGGGAAGAUGUCUAGCGGGUGUGAGAGCACGACCCGCGCCACUGGCACUGAGACACUGGCCAGACACCUACGGGUGGCUGCAGUCGAGGAUCUUCGUCAAUGGGGGCAACCCUGAACGAGCGAUGCCGCGUGUGCGAUGAAGGCCUUCGGGCUGUAAAGCACUGUCGAGGGGGAGAAAGGGAAACUUGAUCUAUCCCUGGAGGAAGCUCGGGCUAAGUUCGUGCCAGCAGCCGCGGUAAGACGAACCGAGCGAACGUUGUUCGGAAUCACUGGGCUUAAAGGGCGCGUAGGCGGGCUGCCAAGUCUGUGGUGAAAUCCUCCAGCUUAACUGGAGAACGGCCGUGGAUACUGGCGGUCUCGAGGAAGGUAGGGGCAAGUGGAACUGUGCGUGGAGCGGUGAAAUGCGUUGAUAUGCACAGGAACUCCGGUGGCGAAGGCGACUUGCUGGACCUUUUCUGACGCUGAGGCGCGAAAGCCAGGGGAGCGAACGGGAUUAGAUACCCCGGUAGUCCUGGCCCUAAACGUUGAGAACUAGGUAGUAGACUUGACUUGGGUUUACUG